AAUAUUGGACAAUGGGCGAAAGCCUGAUCCAGCCAUGCCGCGUGUGUGAAGAAGGUCUUCGGAUUGUAAAGCACUUUAAGUUGGGAGGAAGGGCAGUAAGUUAAUACCUUGCUGUUUUGACGUUAACGACAGAAUAAGCACAGGCUAACUUCGUGCCAGCCGCCGCGGUAAUACGAAGGGUGCAAGCUGUAAUCGGAAUUACGGGGCGUAAAGCGCGCGUAUGUGGUUUGUUAAGUUGGAAGUGAAAGCCCCGGGCUCAACCUGGGAACUGCUUUCAUAACUGCUGAGCUAGAGUACGGUAGAGGGUAGUGGAAUUUCCUGUGUAGCGGUGAAAUGCGUAGAUAUAGGAAGGAACAUCAGUGGCGAAGGCGACUACCUGGACUGAUACUGACACUGAGGUGCGAAAGCGUGGGGAGCAAACAGG
rnacentral:rRNA from 1 species